rnacentral:rRNA from 1 species
GACGAACGCUGGCGGCGUGCUUAACACAUGCAAGUCGAACGGAAAGGCCCUGCUUUUGUGGGGUGCUCGAGUGGCGAACGGGUGAGUAACACGUGAGUAACCUGCCCUUGACUUUGGGAUAACUUCAGGAAACUGGGGCUAAUACCGGAUAGGAGCUCCUGCUGCAUGGUGGGGGUUGGAAAGUUUCGGCGGUUGGGGAUGGACUCGCGGCUUAUCAGCUUGUUGGUGGGGUAGUGGCUUACCAAGGCUUUGACGGGUAGCCGGCCUGAGAGGGUGACCGGCCACAUUGGGACUGAGAUACGGCCCAGACUCCUACGGGAGGCAGCAGUGGGGAAUAUUGCACAAUGGGCGGAAGCCUGAUGCAGCAACGCCGCGUGCGGGAUGACGGCCUUCGGGUUGUAAACCGCUUUCGCCUGUGACGAAGCGUGAGUGACGGUAAUGGGUAAAGAAGCACCGGCUAACUACGUGCCAGCAGCCGCGGUGAUACGUAGGGUGCGAGCGUUGUCCGGAUUUAUUGGGCGUAAAGGGCUCGUAGGUGGUUGAUCGCGUCGGAAGUGUAAUCUUGGGGCUUAACCCUGAGCGUGCUUUCGAUACGGGUUGACUUGAGGAAGGUAGGGGAGAAUGGAAUUCCUGGUGGAGCGGUGGAAUGCGCAGAUAUCAGGAGGAACACCAGUGGCGAAGGCGGUUCUCUGGGCCUUUCCUGACGCUGAGGAGCGAAAGCGUGGGGAGCGAACAGGCUUAGAUACCCUGGUAGUCCACGCUGUAAACGGUGGGUACUAGGUGUGGGGUCCAUUCCACGGGUUCCGUGCCGUAGCUAACGCUUUAAGUACCCCGCCUGGGGAGUACGGCCGCAAGGCUAAAACUCAAAGGAAUUGACGGGGCCCCGCACAAGCGGCGGAGCAUGCGGAUUAAUUCGAUGCAACGCGUAGAACCUUACCUGGGUUUGACAUGGAUCGGGAGCGCUCAGAGAUGGGUGUGCCUCUUUUGGGGUCGGUUCACAGGUGGUGCAUGGCUGUCGUCAGCUCGUGUCGUGAGAUGUUGGGUUAAGUCCCGCAACGAGCGCAACCCUUGUUCACUGUUGCCAGCACGUUAUGGUGGGGACUCAGUGGAGACCGCCGGGGUCAACUCGGAGGAAGGUGGGGAUGACGUCAAGUCAUCAUGCCCCUUAUGUCCAGGGCUUCACGCAUGCUACAAUGGCUGGUACAGAGAGUGGCGAGCCUGUGAGGAUGAGCGAAUCUCGGAAAGCCGGUCUCAGUUCGGAUUGGGGUCUGCAACUCGACCUCAUGAAGUCGGAGUCGCUAGUAAUCGCAGAUCAGCAACGCUGCGGUGAAUACGUUCCCGGG